GAUGAACGCUGGCGGCGUGCCUAAUACAUGCAAGUCGAGCGAACAGACGAGGAGCCUGCUCCUCUGACGUUAGCGGCGGACGGGUGAGUAACACGUGGAUAACCUACCUAUAAGACUGGGAUAACUUCGGGAAACCGGAGCUAAUACCGGAUAAUAUAUUGAGCCGCAUGGUUCAAUAGUGAAAGACGGUUUUGCUGUCACUUAUAGAUGGAUCCGCGCCGCAUUAGCUAGUUGGUAAGGUAACGGCUUACCAAGGCAACGAUGCGUAGCCGACCUGAGAGGGUGAUCGGCCACACUGGAACUGAGACACGGUCCAGACUCCUACGGGAGGCAGCAGUAGGGAAUCUUCCGCAAUGGGCGAAAGCCUGACGGAGCAACGCCGCGUGAGUGAUGAAGGUCUUCGGAUCGUAAAACUCUGUUAUUAGGGAAGAACAAAUGUGUAAGUAACUAUGCACGUCUUGACGGUACCUAAUCAGAAAGCCACGGCUAACUACGUG
rnacentral:rRNA from 1 species